UACGGGGGGGGCAAGCGUUGUUCGGAAUUACUGGGCGUAAAGGGCUCGUAGGCGGCCAUCUAAGUCGGACGGGAAAUCCCUCGGCUUAACCGGGGAACUGCGUCCGAUACUGGAGGGCUUGAGUGUGGGAGAGGGAUGCGGAAUUCCAGGUGUAGCGGUGAAAUGCGUAGAUAUCUGGAGGAACACCGGUGGCGAAGGCGGCAUCCUGGACCAACACUGACACUGAGGAGCGAAAGCCAGGGGAGCAAACGGG
rnacentral:rRNA from 1 species